rnacentral:rRNA from 1 species
CCUACGGGAGGCAGCAGUGAGGAAUAUUGGUCAAUGGGCGGACGCCUGAACCAGCCAAGUCGCGUGAGGGAAGACUGCCCUAUGGGUUGUAAACCUCUUUUGUCAGGGAGCAACGCCGGCUACGUGUAGCCGGACUGAGAGUACCUGAAGAAAAAGCAUCGGCUAACUCCGUGCCAGCAGCCGCGGUAAUACGGAGGAUGCGAGCGUUAUCCGGAUUUAUUGGGUUUAAAGGGUGCGUAGGCGGAAUGCCAAGUCAGCGGGAAAAUCGCGGGGCUCAACCUCGCUCCGCCGUUGAAACUGGCGUUCUUGAGUGGGCGAGAGGUAUGCGGAAUGCGUGGUGUAGCGGUGAAAUGCAUAGAUAUCACGCAGAACUCCGAUUGCGAAGGCAGCAUACCGGCGCCCAACUGACGCUGAAGCACGAAAGCGUGGGUAUCGAACAGGAUUAGAUACCCUUGUAGUC